rnacentral:rRNA from 1 species
AGGACGAACGCUGGCGGCGUGCUUAACACAUGCAAGUCGAGCGAGGCCCUUCCUUCGGGAAGGAGCCCUAGCGGCGAACGGGUGAGUAACACGUGGGCAACCUGCCCCUAGCACUGGGAUAACUCCGGGAAACCGGGGCUAAUACCGGAUAUGACCUUUGAGGGCAUCCUCUUUGGUGUAAAGGAUUCUGGCUAGGGAUGGGCCCGCGGCCUAUCAGCUUGUUGGUGGGGUAAAGCCUACCAAGGCGACGACGGGUAGCCGGCCUGAGAGGGCGACCGGCCACACUGGGACUGAGACACGGCCCAGACUCCUACGGGAGGCAGCAGUGGGGAAUAUUGCACAAUGGGCGAAAGCCUGAUGCAGCGACGCCGCGUGAGGGAUGACUGCCUUCGGGUUGUAAACCUCUUUCAGCAGGGACGAAGCGAAAGUGACGGUACUGCAGAGAGCACGCAACUCGCGCAGCAGCCGC